rnacentral:tRNA from 1 species
CAUAGGGUAAUAUAAUAAAUAUCUUUUGCUUACACCAAAAAAUUGGCCACAUAACCCCCUAUGA